rnacentral:tRNA from 1 species
UCCCUGGUGGUCCAGUGGUUAAGACUCCAAGUUCCCAUGUCAAGGGGCCCAGGUUCAAUACCUGGUCAGGGAG